GGGCGGUUAGCUCAGUGGUUAGAGCGCUGCGUUGACAUCGCAGAGGUCACCGGUUCAAAUCCAGUACCGCCCACCA
rnacentral:tRNA from 2 species